AUACGGAGGGUGCGAGCGUUAAUCGGAAUUACUGGGCGUAAAGCGUGCGUAGGCGGUUUGUUAAGUCAGAAGUGAAAGCCCUGGGCUCAACCUGGGAACGGCUUUUGAGACUGGCAGACUCGAGUUGAGUAGAGGGGAGUGGAAUUUCCGGUGUAGCGGUGAAAUGCGUAGAGAUCCGAAGGAACACCAGUGGCGAAGGCGACUCCCUGGACUCAAACUGACGCUGAGGUACGAAAGCGUGGGUAGCAAACAGGAUUAGAAACCCUUGUAGUCC
rnacentral:rRNA from 1 species